UACAGAGGGUGCAAGCGUUAAUCGGAAUUACUGGGCGGAAAGCGUGCGUAGUCGGUUAUCUAAGUCGGAUGUGAAAUCCCCGGGCUCAACCUGGGAAUUGCAUUCGAUACUGGAUAGCUAGAGUUCGGCAGAGGGAAGUGGAAUUUCGGGUGUAGCGGUGAAAUGCGUAGAUAUCCGAAGGAACAUCAGUGGCGAAAGCGACUUCCUGGACCAGAACUGACGAUCAGGCACGAAAGCGUGGGGAGCAAACAGG
rnacentral:rRNA from 1 species